rnacentral:rRNA from 1 species
AUUGAACGCUGGCGGCAGGCCUAACACAUGCAAGUCGAGCGGAUGAAGGGAGCUUGCUCCUGGAUUCAGCGGCGGACGGGUGAGUAAUGCCUAGGAAUCUGCCUGGUAGUGGGGGAUAACGUCCGGAAACGGGCGCUAAUACCGCAUACGUCCUGAGGGAGAAAGUGGGGGAUCUUCGGACCUCACGCUAUCAGAUGAGCCUAGGUCGGAUUAGCUAGUUGGUGGGGUAAAGGCCUACCAAGGCGACGAUCCGUAACUGGUCUGAGAGGAUGAUCAGUCACACUGGAACUGAGCCACGGUCCAGACUCCUACGGGAGGCAGCAGUGGGGAAUAUUGGACAAUGGGCGAAAGCCUGAUCCAGCCAUGCCGCGUGUGUGAAGAAGGUCUUCGGAUUGUAAAGCACUUUAAGUUGGGAGGAAGGGCAGUAAGUUAAUACCUUGAUGUUUUGACGUUACCAACAGAAUAAGCACCGGCUAACUUCGUG